rnacentral:rRNA from 1 species
GACAGCAGUAGCCGCGGGAAUACAGAGGGUGCGAGCGUUAAUCGGAUUUACUGGGCGUAAAGCGUGCGUAGGCGGCUUCUUAAGUCGGAUGUGAAAUCCCUGAGCUUAACUUAGGAAUUGCAUUCGAUACUGGGAAGCUAGAGUAUGGGAGAGGAUGGUAGAAUUCCAGGUGUAGCGGUGAAAUGCGUAGAGAUCUGGAGGAAUACCGAUGGCGAAGGCAGCCAUCUGGCCUAAUACUGACGCUGAGGUACGAAAGCAUGGGGAGCAAACAGGAUUAGAUACCCGAGUAGUCCCUGUCUCUUAUAC